AAUUACCUGCCCUGUAAGUGAUAUAUGAAAAAGUUGAUCCGGCAAAUUAGAUCUUUAGGGAGCCCGCGUAAGGUGUCGGUGUGCAUGUUGACCAGGUGUCAAAAGCCUAAAGCCACCUUUAUGGCACCCACCUAUCCAAUAGGCGGAUCUGAUUCUUCAUAUACACGACAGGGCGGGAUUCAU
rnacentral:other from 1 species